GGAGAGGUGGCAGAGCUCGGUUGAAUGCGCACGACUCGAAAUCGUGUAGCGGUCUGCAAGGGCCGCUCGUGGGUUCGAAUCCCACCCUCUCCGCCA
rnacentral:tRNA from 1 species